CUAAGAAUACUAAACACCCGUUUCUAUCAACCAGUAAGACAGUGGGGGAUAAGCUUCAUUGUCAAAAGGGAAACAGCCCAGAUCACCAGCUAAGGCCCCAAAGUGGUUGCUAAGUGAUAAAGGAAGUGAACAUGCAAAGACAACCAGGAAAUUCGCUUAGAAGCAGCUAUUUUUUAAAGAGUGCGUAAUAGCUCACUGGUAGAGCAGGUUCGCGCCGAAAAUGAACGGGGCUAAGUAAUCCGCCGAAGCUGUGGGAUUCCAACGAUGCAUUAUUGGUAUAAAACCAAACGCAAUAAAUCGGUAGAGGAGCGUUCCGCUUUAGGGUGAAGCUAACACGUGAGUGGUGGUGGACGAAGCGGAAGUGAGAAUGUCGGCUUGAGUAACGAAAACAGUUUUGGUGAGAAUCCACUGCCCCGAAAACCUAAGGGUUCCUUUACAAGGCUCGUCCAUGGAGGGUUAGUCAGGUCCUAAGGCCAGGUCGAAAGGCGUAGUCGAUGGCAAACAGGUUAAUAUUCCUGUACUUAUUUUUUGUUGAUUCCGGGGGACGGAGUGGGAUAGUAGGUCAUUUUUCUACACGGAGUUCUUUAUGGGCUUGGUGUAGAGAGAAAAAUUUGAUUGAUUUCAUUUUGCUUGAAACGGAAGAAAAACCGUUUUAUAGGCCCGAGCAAAAAGUUGAUCUUUUUGAUCUUCUUUUCUGUAAGGAUGACUUCUCCGUCAUUGACGGCCAAAUCCAACUUCCUAGAAAAGCCCAGACCAUCGAUAACUUAAAAUAACCUGUACCCUAAACCGACACAGGUAGGUAGGUAGAGAAUACUAA
rnacentral:rRNA from 1 species